rnacentral:rRNA from 1 species
AGUGAGCGGGAAGAGCUCAAAUUUGUAAUCUGGCACUUUCAGUGUCCGAGUUGUAAUCUCGAGAAGUAUUUUCCGCGCCGGACCGCAUACAAGUCUGUUGGAAUACAGCGUCAUAGUGGUGAGAACCCCGUAACUGAUGCGGAUGCCCGGUGCUUUGUGAUAUACUUUCGAAGAGUCGAGUUGUUUGGGAAUGCAGCUCAAAUUGGGUGGUAAAUUCCAUCUAAAGCUAAAUAUUGGAGCAAGACCGAUAGCGAACAAGUACCGUGAGGGAAAGAUGAAAAGCACUUUGGAAAGAGAGUUAACAGUACGUGAAAUUGUUGGAAGGGAAACGCUUGAAGUCAGACUUGCUAUUCGGAGUUCAGCCGCAAGGUGUAUUCUUCGAUUUGCAGGCCAGCAUCAGUUUUUGGGGGUGGAAAAUCGUGGUUUGAAGGUAGCAGUUUCGGCUGUGUUAUAGCUUUCCACUGGAUUCAUCUUCGGGGACUGAGGAACGCAGUACGCUUUUUGCAAGGCUCUCGAGCUUUUCGUACUUAGGAUGCUGGUGGAAUGGCUUUAAACGACCCGUCUUGA